GAUGAACGCUGGCGGCGUGCCUAAUACAUGCAAGUCGAGCGAACAGACGAGGAGCUUGCUCCUCUGACGUUAGCGGCGGACGGGUGAGUAACACGUGGAUAACCUACCUAUAAGACUGGGAUAACUUCGGGAAACCGGAGCUAAUACCGGAUAAUAUAUUGAACCGCAUGGUUCAAUAGUUAAAGACGGUUUUGCUGUCACUUAUAGAUGGAUCCGCGCCGCAUUAGCUAGUUGGUAAGGUAACGGCUUACCAAGGCAACGAUGCGUAGCCGACCUGAGAGGGUGAUCGGACACAUUGGAACUGAGACACGGUCCAGACUCCUACGGGAGGCAGCAGUAGGGAAUCUUCCGCAAUGGGCGAAAGCUUGACGGAGCAACGCCGCGUGAGUGAUGAAGGUCUUCGGAUCGUAAAACUCUGUUAUUAGGGAAGAACAAAUGUGUAAGUAACUAUGCACGUCUUGACGGUACCUAAUCAGAAAGCCACGGCUAACUACGUG
rnacentral:rRNA from 1 species